rnacentral:misc_RNA from 1 species
AAUCUUGUGGGGAACUCUGUUAAGGUCAGUGAAUUGCUAGCACAAUCAUUAUUAAAUGUCUUGUUACUUUGCUUCAAUUAUCAGUAUGCCAGUAUGCUAUAUGGGUAAGAUUUAGUGAUUUUAGCCAUAAAUGUUACUUCUUAACAUGUUGCUUUGUAAUAGUUCAAUGAUAUUUCCUACUGCUGGAUACGUUAUUAUCUUUGAAAUACUUUUGGCGUAGUUGAUUUAUGUAACUAAAUUUUUGGCAGUUCACUGAACGAGGGCAUAUA